AGGAACUGGGCGGGACUUCUGGC
rnacentral:piRNA from 1 species